AGUCCGUAUCCGCAUGUUACGAUGACUAGCCACCUCAAGUAGCUGGUCCGCAAAUUCCUAUCCACUUGUGCCGUCUUUUAAGAUCACAUUUUUGGAAAAUAAAUUUCGUUCAGUUGCCGACCUGUUGAAUAACUAUGUAGCUUCUUUGGCAGUUGUCACGCCAAAAUUCGAAUUCAUCGUCGUUCAUUUAGUGCGGUACCGAAGUUAAAAUUGUUGCAUCUGAAUACCUUCGCUGACUUUAAAGUUUGUGCAAACUUCCGUACGGAGGGCAAACUAUUAGCUACUUUCUGACUACAUUAAGGAUACUCAGCAAAUGAUAGAAUAAUGUCUAAUGUCCAGACGAAUCAGCGUGUGCCAUUACGUACGCUUUAGAUGGGGUCAGCAAAAUAAAAGCCUCGCAAUAAGUUUUGCACGAUGAUAGUAUAUCCGCAACUGCCUCGGGCAACCAACAAAAAGAAGAGUAUAUCUUGCUAAGAGUUUACCGACCUGGAUAUGUGUAUUAUACAAUGCAGAUUUCACAGCUCACCAAAACCGCGG